rnacentral:tRNA from 1 species
AAGGGAUGAGACUCCUGGGCCAUUAGCUCAGGUGGUUAGAGCGCACCCCUGAUAAGGGUGAGGUCCCUGGUUCAAGUCCAGGAUGGCCCAUUCGGUGUUGGGGGUUUAGCUCAGUUGGUAGAGCGCCUGCUUUGCAAGCAGGAUGUCAGGAGUUCGAGUCUCCUAACCUCCACUGACCGAACUUUGUCCCCAUCUCCAGAAUAUGGAGUUGAGCUCGAUUGGAGUGUGAUUUAGAUUUGUCCGCUGGAUGAUCCCAGCUUCCUGUCAUUCCGAUGAAUACAGUCAAGUAAUUGAUUGAAUGAAUUGGUUGAUAAGAUGCUGGGCUCAAAUCAAAUGAUCAAGCAAUUGAUGAUUUGAUUUGAAGUUCUAGCAGAACCUUGACAACUGUAUAGGUGAAGUCUGGAAAAACAAAGCAUCUUACAGAUGCAUUGUUUUGAGUCUGAUCUUCUGAAAGGGAGAUUAGAACCAGAGCAAUGAAAAUUCUUUUGAGCAAGAGCCGAGACUCUUGAGCGUUCUUUGAUUCGUGUCGAGCGAAUCAGAGUUUGAUCUUGUUUUAGGAAUCAACGAAAGUUGAUGAUUAAACCUUGAGAAUCUGCUUUCAACGGCGGUAAGCGUUCAGGAGGUUAAUUGGUCAAGCUACAAAGGGCUCACGGCGGAUACCUUGGCACACAGAGGCGAUGAA